CGGUAAUUCCAGCUCCAAUAGCGUAUAUUAAAGUUGUUGCCGUUAAAAAGCUCGUAGUCGAACUUCGGCCUUUGCCGCCCGGUCCGCCCUAUGGGUGUGUACUGGAGCGGUGGAGGCUUACCUCGUGGUGAACGGCCAUGCUCUUUACUGGGUGUGGUCGGGAACCAUGAUUUUUACUUUGAAAAAAUUAGAGUGUUCAAAGCAGGCUUACGCCCGAAUACAUUAGCAUGGAAUAAUAAAAUAGGACGUGCGGUUCUAUUUUGUUGGUUUCUAGAAUCGCCGUAAUGAUUAAUAGGGAUAGUUGGGGGCAUUCGUAUUCAAUUGCUAGAGGUGAAAUUCUUGGAUUUAUUGAAGACGAACUACUGCGAAAGCAUUUGCCAAGGAUGUUUUCAUUGAUCAAGAACGAAGGUUAGGGGAUCGAAAACGAUCAGAUACCGUUGUAGUCUUAACAGUAAACGAUGCCGACUAGGGAUCGGACGAGGAUUUUUAAUGACUCGUUCGGCACCUGAAGAGAAAUCUUUAAGUCUAGGUUCGGGGGGGAGUAUGGUCGCAAGGCUGAAACUUAAAGGAAUUGACGGAAGGGCACCACCAGGUGUGGAGCCUGCGGCUUAAUUUGACUCAACACGGGGAAACUCACCAGGUCCAGACACGACAAGGAUUGACAGAUUGAUAGCUCUUUCUUGAUUUCGUGGUUGGUGGUGCAUGGCCGUUCUUAGUUGGUGGAGUGAUUUGUCUGGUUAAUCCCGAUAACGAACGAGACCUUAACCUGCUAAAUAGCCCGGCCGACUUUGGUUGGUCGCUGGCUUCUUAGAGGGACUAUCAGCGUUUAGCUGAUGGAAGUUUGAGGCAAUAACAGGUCUGUGAUGCCCUUAGAUGUUCUGGGCCGCACGCGCGCUACACUGACCGAACCAGCGAGUUUAUCACCUUGGCCGGAAGGCCUGGGUAAUCUUGUGAAACUCGGUCGUGAUGGGGAUAGAGCAUUGCAAUUAUUGCUCUUCAACGAGGAAUACCUAGUAAGCGUGAGUCAUCAGCUCGCGUUGAAUUCGUCCCUGCCCUUUGUACACACCGCCCGUCGCUACUACCGAUUGAGUGAUCCGGUGAAUAAUUCGGACGGAACUUUCGGGUAGUUCUACUCGUUAGUUCUGAAAGUCUAGUGAACCUUAUCACUUAGAGGAAGGAGAAGUCGUAACAAGGUAGCCG
rnacentral:rRNA from 1 species